UUUACAAAUAAAACUAAACAAAAUCAUGGCACUUCGAUCGAGGUGGAAAAGAUUAUUUUUUGGUGCGAGGAGGAGGAAUUUGUCAGCCGUAUUCUAGCUGCAACGUUUGCUGGCUGCUGCUGAGACCGAAAACAGCAAAGGCAAUCAAUAAAACCCAACCAGUAAGUAAGGUACAGUACUGAUCCACAGUAGGAGCUUCUGACCUCGUUAAACGAGCCAAAAUGGAGAUGUGGUCAGUUUGGUCUCUCAAAGAUUGCCAGGGUACACACCUCCGAUGCAGUGUGGGAGACAGACAGGUUGAUCUGUGCAUUACCUGCAAGAAUGCAUGAUGGGAGGGACGUGGUUCCGCGAACUCUUAGGGUGGACCCCGAGUGGCUAGCCUCUGUUGCCAUGGAGACACUGAAAAGCCAGAUAGGACUCGUUGCCAAGACGACUUAUUGCAAAGUAAACCUGUUCAAGGAUUGUACAGCUAACUAUCGAGUCAACCAUUCCAGACUUUUAGUGUUGCUCAGAGUGCUCAGCAGAAACAGGUCGUUCAAGAAGCUCUUCAUGAGAUGGACAAACCGCUGGCUCGUUACCGAGAUGACAACGACCUGGACGCCAUGUUGAAGGAACAGGACCGAGAUGGGGAUCCGAUGAUGGCCUUCGUGCAGAAGAAACAAUCGCAGAAAUGAGCUGCAAGUGGCAUUAAGGAGAAGCCCAAAUACAAGGGUCCACCGCCGCCUCCAAAUCGCUUCAACAUCAUGCCUGGUUACCGAUGGGAUGGGGCAGACCGCUCCAACGGCUUCAAGAAGAAAUCGAUGAUAUGACAGGCAGAUAAGAAAGCGAUGAAGGAGAUUGCUUAUAAAUUGAGCAUAGAGGAUAUGUAGAAAAGAUGUUGUUAAGCUCAAAGGCACUUGACACCCUUGGUAAUUGUCAAAGACCAGUUUUCGGACCAUGCAAAAGUUUCAAAUCCAAUUUAUGUAUUUCGUAGUUCAUCAAUGAAACUCCCCAUCAUGGUAAUUUUAUAAAUUCUGCUGCAGACAUUGCAAUAGUAAUAGCAAAAUGAGUAGUUUGUCGAUCUAUGUCAUUCAUUUGUAAAUUUUAAAACAGCAUAAUUUAUGCUUUCAUAAGGGAAUAAAACAACGAGUUCUUAAACUGCUGUUUAAAACUGGCAUGGUAGUGGCCGUGCGAUAAAGGUCCGACCCAGCAAG